rnacentral:rRNA from 1 species
UCGGGGUGCAGCAGGCGCGAAAACUUUACAAUGCGGGAAACCGUGAUAAGGGAACUCCGAGUGCCCGUAAAAUCGGGCUGUCCAUCUGUUUAAAUAACAGGUGAAGAAAGGGCCGGGCAAGACCGGUGCCAGCCGCCGCGGUAAUACCGGCGGCUCGAGUGGUGGCCACUAUUACUGGGCUUAAAGCGUUCGUAGCUGGUCUGUUAAGUCUCUGGGGAAAUCUACUGGCUUAACCAAUAGGCGUUUCAGGGAUACUGGCAGACUAGGGACCGGGAGAGGUGAGGGGUACUCCAGGGGUAGGAGUGAAAUCCUGUAAUCCUUGGGGGACCACCUGUGGCGAAGGCGCCUCACCAGAACGGCUCCGACAGUGAGGGACGAAAGCUGGGGGAGCAAACCGGAUUAGAUACCCGGGUAGUCCCAGCCGUAAACGAUGCGCGUUAGGUGUAUCGGUGACCACGAGUCACCGAGGUGCCGAAGAGAAAUCGUGAAACGUGCCGCCUGGGAAGUACGGUCGCAAGGCUGAAACUUAAAGGAAUUGGCGGGGGAGCAC